CGGGAAAAGCUCAAAUUUAAAAUCUGGCAGUCUUUGGCUGUCCGAGUUGUAAUCUAGAGAAGCAUUAUCCGCGCUGGACCGUGUACAAGUCCCUUGGAACAGGGUAUCAAAGAGGGUGACAAUCCCGUGCUUGACGCGACCGCCGGUGCUAUGUGAUACGUCUUCUAC
rnacentral:rRNA from 1 species